AGCGAACGCUGGCGGCAGGCUUAACACAUGCAAGUCGAGCGGGCACUUUCGGGUGUCAGCGGCGGACGGGUGAGUAACGCGUGGGAACGUGCCCUCUGGUUCGGAAUAACUCAGGGAAACUUGAGCUAAUACCGGAUACGCCCUUUUGGGGAAAGGCUUGCUGCCGGAGGAUCGGCCCGCGUCUGAUUAGCUAGUUGGUGAGGUAACGGCUCACCAAGGCGACGAUCAGUAGCUGGUCUGAGAGGAUGAUCAGCCACACUGGGACUGAGACACGGCCCAGACUCCUACGGGAGGCAGCAGUGGGGAAUAUUGGACAAUGGGCGCAAGCCUGAUCCAGCCAUGCCGCGUGAGUGAUGAAGGCCUUAGGGUUGUAAAGCUCUUUUAUCCGGGACGAUAGUGACGGUACCGGAGGAAUAAGCCCCGGCUAACUUCGUG
rnacentral:rRNA from 1 species